rnacentral:ncRNA from 1 species
CUGGCUAGUUUGGUUCUGGCUGUUUGCUUGGCUUUGCCCAGGUUUGCACAUGAUAGUUUAGGCGUGCUAGCAGCUAAGGGGUUGUUCUUAAUGGGUGGUUUUUCGGUUUUAAUUUUUUUAUAAUGCUGGUUUUAGGAUGUAGCAUCAGUGUGAGAUCUUAGGGUUUAAAAUAGCGGGAGCUUGACUUAGUUGUGGGUAGUAGGGAAGGUUAAGUUUGUGCCAGCUGCUGCGGUUAUACAGGCUUCUCUGGUCAAGCUUUUUCGGCUUAAAUUCGGUUAAGUUUUUCUUUUAGGUGGCUAAAUUAGUGUUGGUGGGUGAAAUCUGUAAAAUUCUUUUUCUUUUUUGCUUCCUGUUGUUUGAAAUGAGGCCGGUGGAGGAAAAGGUGGAGACCGGGAUUAGAUACUCCGUUAUUCUUUUCUUUGAUUGUUGGGGCUUGGGUAUUAAAAGAUGGCUUAAAACCCAAAGGACUUGGCGGUGCUGUCAUUCGAAUCAGAGGAAUCUGUCCUGUAAGCGAUGUUCCGCGGUAUAGUUUACCUCUUCUUUUAUUGGUUAGCUUGUGUAUUUCCGUUGUCAGCAUAUGUGCAGAAGCUCUUUAUGUGCUGGUUAAUUAUUUGUUUUUACAUCAGGUCAAGGUGCAGCGUAUGGGGUGGUGGAGAUGGGUUACGUUUCUUUAGUUUUUGGUGGUCUUGUUGGAAUGUGGGCCCUAAAUCGGAUUUGAUAGUAAUUUUACAUUAGUAUGGUUUUCUGAAGGUUGUUUUGUGGUGUGUACAAAUCGCCCGUCGCUCUUUCCGUGCGAGGAAAGAUAAGUCGUAACAUAGUAAGGGUAGUGGAAGCUGCUCUUGGUUU